rnacentral:tRNA from 1 species
UCCCCAGUGGCUCAGCAGUAAAGAAUCUGCCUCCAAUGCAGGAGACCUGGGUUCGAUCCCUGGGUUGGGAA